rnacentral:rRNA from 1 species
AGGAAGCAGCUUGCUGUUUCGCUGACGAGUGGCGGACGGGUGAGUAAUGUCUGGGAAACUGCCUGAUGGAGGGGGAUAACUACUGGAAACGGUAGCUAAUACCGCAUAACGUCGCAAGACCAAAGAGGGGGACCUUCGGGCCUCUUGCCAUCGGAUGUGCCCAGAUGGGAUUAGCUAGUAGGUGGGGUAACGGCUCACCUAGGCGACGAUCCCUAGCUGGUCUGAGAGGAUGACCAGCCACACUGGAACUGAGACACGGUCCAGACUCCUACGGGAGGCAGCAGUGGGGAAUAUUGCACAAUGGGCGCAAGCCUGAUGCAGCCAUGCCGCGUGUAUGAAGAAGGCCUUCGGGUUGUAAAGUACUUUCAGCGGGGAGGAAGGGAGUAAAGUUAAUACCUUUGCUCAUUGACGUUACCCGCAGAAGAAGCACCGGCUAACUCCGUGCCAGCAGCCGCGGUAAUACGGAGGGUGCAAGCGUUAAUCGGAAUUACUGGGCGUAAAGCGCACGCAGGCGGUUUGUUAAGUCAGAUGUGAAAUCCCCGGGCUCAACCUGGGAACUGCAUCUGAUACUGGCAAGCUUGAGUCUCGUAGAGGGGGGUAGAAUUCCAGGUGUAGCGGUGAAAUGCGUAGAGAUCUGGAGGAAUACCGGUGGCGAAGGCGGCCCCCUGGACGAAGACUGACGCUCAGGUGCGAAAGCGUGGGGAGCAAACAGGAUU